rnacentral:rRNA from 1 species
CCAGACUCCUACGGGAGGCAGCAGUGGGGAAUAUUGCACAAUGGGGGAAACCCUGAUGCAGCGACGCCGCGUGAAGGAAGAAGUAUUUCGGUAUGUAAACUUCUAUCAGCAGGGAAGAAAAUGACGGUACCUGACUAAGAAGCCCCGGCUAACUACGUGCCAGCAGCCGCGGUAAUACGUAGGGGGCAAGCGUUAUCCGGAUUCACUGGGUGUAAAGGGAGCGUAGACGGCGACGCAAGUCUGGAGUGAAAGCCCGGGGCCCAACCCCGGGACUGCUCUGGAAACUGCGUCGCUAGAGUACGGGAGGGGCAGGCGGAAUUCCUGGUGUAGCGGUGAAAUGCGUAGAUAUCAGGAGGAACACCGGUGGCGAAGGCGGCCUGCUGGACUGCAACUGACGUUGAGGCCCGAAAGCGUGGGGAGCAAACAGGAUUAGAUACCCCGGUAG